GAUGAACGCUAGCUACAGGCUUAACACAUGCAAGUCGAGGGGCAGCAUGGUCUUAGCUUGCUAAGGCCGAUGGCGACCGGCGCACGGGUGAGUAACACGUAUCCAACCUGCCGUCUACUCUUGGACAGCCUUCUGAAAGGAAGAUUAAUACAAGAUGGCAUCAUGAGUCCGCAUGUUCACAUGAUUAAAGGUAUUCCGGUAGACGAUGGGGAUGCGUUCCAUUAGAUAGUAGGCGGGGUAACGGCCACCUAGUCUUCGAUGGAUAGGGGUUCUGAGAGGAAGGUCCCCCACAUUGGAACUGAGACACGGUCCAAAACUCCUACGGGAGGCAGCAGUGAGGAAUAUUGGUCAAUGGGCGAGAGCCUGAACCAGCCAAGUAGCGUGAAGGAUGACUGCCCUAUGGGUUGUAAACUUCUUUUAUAUGGGAAUAAAGUUUUCCACGUGUGGAAUUUUGUAUGUACCAUAUGAAUAAGCAUCGGCUAACUCCGUG
rnacentral:rRNA from 1 species